GAUGAACGCUGGCGGCGUGCCUAAUACAUGCAAGUCGAGCGAAUGGAUUAAGAGCUUGCUCUUAUGAAGUUAGCGGCGGACGGGUGAGUAACACGUGGGUAACCUGCCCAUAAGACUGGGAUAACUCCGGGAAACCGGGGCUAAUACCGGAUAAUAUUUUGAACUGCAUGGUUCAAAAUUGAAAGGCGGCUUCGGCUGUCUCUUAUGGAUGGACCCGCGUCGCAUUAACCAGGUGGUGAGGUGACGGCUCACCAAGGCAACGAUGCGUAGCCGACCUGAGAGGGUGAUCGGCCACACUGGGACUGAGACACGGCCCAGACUCCUACGGGAGGCAGCAGUAGGGAAUCUUCCGCAAUGGACGAAAGUCUGACGGAGCAACGCCGCGUGAGUGAUGAAGGCUUUCGGGUCGUAAAACUCUGUUGUUAGGGAAGAACAAGUGCUAGUUGAAUAAGCUGGCACCUUGACGGUACCUAACCAGAAAGCCACGGCUAACUACGUGCCAGCAGCCGCCGUAA
rnacentral:rRNA from 1 species